rnacentral:rRNA from 1 species
UCAGACGAUGCGUCAUGCAUAUCAAUAAGCGGAGGAAAAGAAACUAACAAGGAUUCCCUCAGUAACGGCGAGUGGAAGCGGGAAGAGCUCAAAUUUGAAAUCUUGAAAGGUCACCUUUCACGAAUUGUAGUUUAAAGAAGUGUUUUCUGUUACGAUCGUAAUAUAAGUUCUUUGGAAUAGGACAUCACAGAGGGUGAGAAUCCCGUCUAUGAUUGCGAUUUGUAGCUCUGUGAUACACUUUCAAAGAGUCGGGUUGUUUGGGAAUGCAGCCCAAAACGGGAGGUAAAUUUCUUCUAAGGCUAAAUAUUGGCGAGAGACCGAUAGCGAACAAGUACCGUGAGGAGAAAGAUGAAAAGAACUUUGAAAAGAGAGUUAAAUAGUACGUGAAAUUGUCAAAAGGGAAGCGUUUAACACCAGUGUUGUUUUCUGAAAAUCAACCUCUGUUAGCUUUAUGCAUGUUUGUUUAGACCUAAGUCAGCUAUCUUGCAUGUUCUAUUGUUUGCAGUGGUGCACUUUUCAGUUUACGGGUCAACAUCAGUUUUUUUUACCGUAAAAAAGUUAAAGAAAGGUAGCUCAUGGCUCCGGUCGUGAGUGUUAUAGUCUUUUUCCUAUGCGGUAGGAGAGACUGAGGUCUGCAGUGUAGGCUAUUUGGCUAGAUACUCAGGUGCUAUGUGAUACCAUUUCAUAAACAACUUGUUGAUUAUGUUUUGUCUAUUGUAUACUCGCUUGUACUAUCAUACCUACGCUUAGGAUGUUGACUGAUAUGUAGUCGUA